GCAGUAGCCGCGGUAAUACGGAGGGGGCUAGCGUUGUUCGGAAUUACUGGGCGUAAAGCGCACGUAGGCGGCUUGGUAAGUUAGAGGUAAAAGCCUGGAGCUCAACUCCAGAAUUGCCUUUAAGACUGCCGAGCUAGCAGGUGAGAGAGGUAAGUGGAAUUCCGAGUGUAGAGGUGAAAUUCGUAGAUACCGGGAGGAACAUCAGUGGCGAAGGCGGCCAUCUGGGACAACACUGACGCUGAGGCACGAAAGCGUGGGGAGCAAACAGGAUUAGAUACCCCCGUAGUCCCUGUCUCUUAUAC
rnacentral:rRNA from 1 species